CAAAUACUCCCUCCGUCCGAAAAAACUUGUCCCUCAAAUGAAUGUUUCUAGCACUAACCUGGUGCUAGAUACAUCCAUUUGAGGAACAAGCUUGGGACAAACUUUUUCGGACGGAGGGAGUACUCA
rfam:Triticum aestivum genome assembly, contig: Triticum_aestivum_CS42_TGACv1_scaffold_643188_T_5DL-0.286435_6DL-0.176788